rnacentral:rRNA from 1 species
UACUUUCAGGGUACCAUCAAUCCCGGCGACCGGGAUAUUUUUCCCCUGCUACAGCGGUUUACGACCCAUAAGGCCUUCAUCCCGCACGCGGCGUUGCUGCGUCAGACUUUCGUCCAUUGCGCAAUAUCCCUCA